UACGAAGGGGGCUAGCGUUGCUCGGAAUCACUGGGCGUAAAGCGCACGUAGGCGGAUUGUUAAGUCAGGGGUGAAAUCCUGGAGCUCAACUCCAGAACUGCCUUUGAUACUGGGGAUCUCGAGUCCGGGAGAGGUGAGUGGAACUGCGAGUGUAGAGGUGAAAUUCGUAGAUAUUCGCAAGAACACCAGUGGCGAAGGCGGCUCACUGGCCCGAUACUGACGCUGAGGCACGAAAGCGUGGGGAGCAAACAGG
rnacentral:rRNA from 1 species